AUUGAACGCUGGCGGCAGGCUUAACACAUGCAAGUCGAACGAGUGGCGGACGGGUGAGUAAUGCUUGGGAAACUGGCCGAUGGAGGGGGAUAACUACGGGAAACGGUCGCUAAUACCGCAUACCAUCGGAUGAGCCCAGGUGGGAUUAGGUAGUUGGUGGGGUAACGGCUCACCUAGGCGACGAUCCCUAGCUGGUCUGAGAGGAUGACCAGCCACACUGGGACUGAGACACGGUCCAGACUCCUACGGGAGGCAGCAGUGGGGAAUAUUGCACAAUGGGCGCAAGCCUGAUGCAGCCAUGCCGCGUGAAUGAAGAAGGCCUUCGGGUUGUAAAGUACUUUCAGCGAGGAGGCGUUACUCGCAGAAGAAGCACCGGCUAACUCCGUGCCAGCAGCCGCGGUAAUUC
rnacentral:rRNA from 1 species